rnacentral:rRNA from 1 species
GGAAUAUUGCACAAUGGGCGGAAGCCUGAUGCAGCGAUGCCGCGUGGAGGAAGAAGGUUUUCGGAUUGUAAACUCCUUUUAUCAGGGACGAUAAUGACGGUACCUGAAGAAAAAGCUCCGGCUAACUACGUGCCAGCAGCCGCGGUAAUACGUAGGGAGCGAGCGUUGUCCGGAAUUACUGGGUGUAAAGGGUGCGUAGGCGGGAUGGCAAGUCAGAUGUGAAAUGCCGGGGCUCAACCCCGGAGCUGCAUUUGAAACUGUCGUUCUUGAGUGAGGUAGAGGUAAGCGGAAUUCCUAGUGUAGCGGUGAAAUACGUAGAUAUUAGGAGGAACAUCGGUGGCGAAGGCGGCUUACUGGGCCUUUACUGACGCUGAGGCACGAAAGCGUGGGGAGCAAACA